rnacentral:misc_RNA from 1 species
GAUCAUUACCGAAGUUACUCUUCAUACCCUUUUGUGAACACUACCCCAUUGCCGCGCGUUGCCUCGGCGGGGAGGUCUGGGGGGUUGCGCUCCGGCGCUCCCCCCGGGCCCCCGCCGGCCGCGCCGAACUCUUCAUUUGCAAAGCGGACUGUACGAUCUGAUUAUAUCUUGAAAAACAAGUCAAAACUUUCAACAACGGAUCUCUUGGUUCUGGCAUCGAUGAAGAACGCAGCGAAAUGCGAUAAGUAAUGUGAAUUGCAGAAUUCAGUGAAUCAUCGAAUCUUUGAACGCACAUUGCGCCCGGCAGCAAUCUGCCGGGCAUGCCUGUCCGAGCGUCAUUUCUGCCCUCGAGCGCGGUUCGGCCCCUAGCGGGCCGGCCGCCGCCCGGUGUUGGGGCGCUGCGGGCCCUCGUGCCCGCAGGCCCUGAAAUGAAGUGGCGGUCCCGCCGCGGCGCCCCCUGCGUAGUAGUAAAGCACCUCGCAUCGGGUCCCGGCGGAGGCCAGCCGUCGAACCUCUCU